AGUGAACGCUGGCGGUAGGCCUAACACAUGCAAGUCGAACGGCAGCACAGUAAGAGCUUGCUCUUACGGGUGGCGAGUGGCGGACGGGUGAGGAAUACAUCGGAAUCUACUUUUUCGUGGGGGAUAACGUAGGGAAACUUACGCUAAUACCGCAUACGACCUACGGGUGAAAGCAGGGGAUCUUCGGACCUUGCGCGAUUGAAUGAGCCGAUGUCGGAUUAGCUAGUUGGCGGGGUAAAGGCCCACCAAGGCGACGAUCCGUAGCUGGUCUGAGAGGAUGAUAGGCCACACUGGAACUGAGACACGGUCCAGACUCCUACGGGAGGCAGCAGUGGGGAAUAUUGGACAAUGGGCGCAAGCCUGAUCCAGCCAUACCGCGUGGGUGAAGAAGGCCUUCGGGUUGUAAAGCCCUUUUGUUGGGAAAGAAAGGCAGCAGGUUAAUACCCCGCUGUUCUGACGGUACCCAAAGAAUAAGCACCGGCUAACUUCGUG
rnacentral:rRNA from 1 species